AGGGAGGCCAAAGGUGCAAAGGAUUAGAGGGUGCAUGGAAAAAAGAACCACAAAGAAAAAGGUUAAAUGCAGCAGAUGCCGUGCACUAGGCCAUUUUGCAAAAACUUGCAAAGAGCCAGAGGUUGGUGAAGAUGGCGCAAAAGGGUUGAGCAGGAAUAAAAGGAAGAAGUGCACAGAAGAUAAUGCUGGCCCCUCCAACGUGAAGAAACAGAAGACUCAACAGAAAAAGAAAGGUACCCCAAAAAGAAGAAGACCCCUGCAAAGAAGAAGCAAAAGAGGGCAGAGGCAAACCCACCUCCCACUGUUGUCACCAGCAUCCGAAAAUUAGUGUUUGAAGGACAGUUUGCAUGAGAGUGUUGUGUUAUAUGCCUCCAUGCUUUGGCUUUUGGGACAAAAAUUGUAAGGUUAUGUUGUGCUUUUGGACACAAAAACUUGUAAUGUGUCUCCUUAUGCUUCUGGCCACAAAACUUGUAAUGUCUGUGUACUAGAAUUCUGUUAAGUCUGUGAUUUGGAUAUCUGAGACACAAGUGAUGUCAAAUAUUUAUGUCAAAUAUUUCUGUCAACUAUAUCAUGACCAAGUGAUGUCAAA